rnacentral:rRNA from 1 species
GGGAUAACAGUUGGAAACGGCUGCUAAUACCGCAUAAGCGCACAGUACCGCAUGGUACGGUGUGAAAAACUCCGGUGGUGUGAGAUGGACCCGCGUCUGAUUAGCUAGUUGGCAGGGCAACGGCCUACCAAGGCGACGAUCAGUAGCCGACCUGAGAGGGUGACCGGCCACAUUGGGACUGAGACACGGCCCAAACUCCUACGGGAGGCAGCAGUGGGGAAUAUUGCACAAUGGGGGAAACCCUGAUGCAGCGACGCCGCGUGAGCGAAGAAGUAUUUCGGUAUGUAAAGCUCUAUCAGCAGGGAAGAAGAAAUGACGGUACCUGACUAAGAAGCACCGGCUAAAUACGUGCCAGCAGCCGCGGUAAUACGUAUGGUGCAAGCGUUAUCCGGAUUUACUGGGUGUAAAGGGAGCGCAGGCGGAAGGCUAAGUCUGAUGUGAAAGCCCGGGGCUCAACCCCGGUACUGCAUUGGAAACUGGUCAUCUAGAGUGUCGGAGGGGUAAGUGGAAUUCCUAGUGUAGCGGUGAAAUGCGUAGAUAUUAGGAGGAACACCAGUGGCGAAGGCGGCUUACUGGACGAUAACUGACGCUGAGGCUCGAAAGCGUGGGGAGCAAACAGGAUUAGAUACCCUGGUAGUCCACGCCGUAA